UAAAAGAUUUACAAUACUUGCAACAUGACAAUUUAUGUACUUAUUUGCAUAGUACAUCUCCCUUCCUAGCAAAAAUACAUAUGAUAGUAAAUACUACUUUGACCACUGCUAGCUUAGGCAGUAAGUUGGUCUGAGCAGGGGUCAGUCUGCUCUACUAUGUAGUCUCCAACUGUGGCUCCCUGCAAAGGCAGGGAAAAAUCAGAGAGCAUGUUUGUUUUUUUCCUACUAUUGAACAAACAGCACACCCAAAACCACAGCCUUAGUGCAUUAGCCUGAAAGGGAGCCAAGGAUAAUCAUGACCCCUUACCAUGGAGAAGUUUGAUAUUGACAUAUUAUACAUAUAUCUGUCUUCCCCUAAUACUGUAAUAUCUUUGAUUUCUGAUUCCUUGUGUCUCUUCUGUUACUAUGUUUGUCUUCCACAUCUUCUUGUUUUAUCUGGGGUUCUCAGCUUCCCUCAACUCUAAUGCAGCAUUCAAGUUCCAGGCCAAAGAUUCUGGGAGUGCAGCUAUAACUUGUGGGUUUAUGUGAUCCCUUGUUACUGUAACCCAGGGGUAAAGCGGUGCUGUACUGGGCUUAUUUUUCCCUGUAGGGCUUCAGAAUACACUUCCCUGCAAGGGGCUACUCUGAGGUUAAAGACUUCAAAUACUAGCCCUUAGGGGCAUAUUACAGUAACAGCCACCUGUGGUUGUGUUCCCUCAGUCCAACCAAGAGGAGUGUUUUUUAAUGGUAUUCUCUAUUGCUGAUGUUAAAGCACCUCGUCAAUGCAUCCAGGACACACAUUCCUGGUAUUGACAUUGUCACUCCUUUGAGUCUGUCUCUAGCCAUACUGCCUUGGUUGCAAAGGUUUCAGGGGGCAGUUUUUUCCUUGGAAUUAUAAAAUAAUUAAUUAAUUAUUACAAUUGUUUUACAAUUGAGCUUUCAAUUCCUCCUAUUCUUUUUAUUACAACAGCAUGUUAAGCUUGCUUUCAGCUACAUGAAGCUUUUGCUAUAUGUGCCUUCAAUAUGUAACUGAUAAGCCAUAUACUGAACCUUCUGUUACCAGAUCUGCUUAACCUUGCCUCGGAAUGUUUGGUUGGUGCUUGCUGUUUUUUUCCAUGUUAUUUCCUCAAUACAGCUCCACGUAGCCACAAAAGGAGAGAAACCCAAAUUCUACAAGCAGCCAGAGAAGUCAUAAUUGAAUUGCAGAGCCUGUUAGAAGCUUUGCUUCAGUUGUGCCUGUCUUUGCUUGUUUACCUCCGCUCCGCUCACUUUCUUCCCUGGCUGAUUGGGUUAAGUUUUCUGCAUGCAGCUCUUGCAGGAGUUUAAAACUUGUUUCACAAGUUAGUAUGCUUUUCUACUCUGUUCCUGCUAAUCUGCACUUGGGCAGCUUAGAGUUGCACUCUGGCAUGCCUGAAGAAGCACAAACAAACUUCUUGAGUACUAAUAACUUUGUCACUAAAGGGCCCUCUACACCCUUUAAGGCUUUUUCUGCUCAUCUUCUAGUUUGUUUUCAUCUGUCUAAAGAUACAUAAAGGAACAGAUGUAUCCACUUACACACUGUCUUAGGCUCUAGGGCUUUGCUAGGAAGUCCAAGAUCACUGCUAAAGAACAGUGGUCAUUAUUAACUGAACAAUUCAAUUAAACUUGGAAUGAAUUUCACUGCUGCUGCAGCCUGAAGCAGUGUAUUAGUUUUCCACUUCCAGACCACUUCUAGGUUAAUUCAGAAUGAAUACCUUCAUCUCCCACACCCAUCUUACACUCAUUAACACCUAUUCUAAACUAAACAUUACUUGCUAUGACUUUAUGCUACCACAGACUGUGACAAAGACUGAAGUUUAUGUAAUUAGUGUCUGCAACAGCACAUGAAGAAGGAAACAAAUUGCUAAACCUGGCAUUUAACUUCAGAACACCAAAGACUCAGCUGAACCCAUACCCAUGACCCAAUCUUGCAGGUCUCCACCCAUCAGCUGUGCAACCCCCCCCACUUUGUCACCUACCACAGAGCAGGAUGGAUUGGAAAGGAAGGGGAAAACAUAGAUGGAUGUUGGUUGACUUAUUAAAGGGAAAACUAAAAAGUGAUGUAAACACAAUCACCGCUACUUACCAGAAGACCAAAGCCCAGGUAGUCUCCAAGCAGCAGUUCACGAAGUAUUUCCCCCCCUUGCCCAUUUUUAUUGCUAAGCAUGAUGUUAAACAGUGCCAAAUACCUCUUUGGUCAGUUCAGGUCAGCAAUCCCAUCCACGUCCCUUCAAGCCUCUUGCCCACCCCCCACCCUACUGUAGGAACACAGAGCAGUGUAAGAAACAAAAGGCUUCAGCGCACUGCAGGCACUGUUCGGCAAACACACACAGGAUAUCACCACUCUUUUAACACAAAUCUAAACCCCAGCAGUACCUGGGAGCACUCUGAAGAAAGUUAACUCCGUCCCCUCCAGCCCCAGUAUACGUAGUGAGCUGCACACAACUGAGAACACAACUGCAGCUACACAAUUAGCACUCCUGAGGAAUAGGAAUUUCCAUUCAGCAUGUUAAACUGAAGGUAGACAAUACAUGCUUAUUUUCUAAACACUCGAGAUCUACGUUUCUAAGGUAUUUCAACUUUGUUGGCAGUAAAGUCUUAAACAUUUUCCUAAGCUUAUUUCUUAGCUUGCCUUCGCUUCCAGCUGAAACUGGCCUUAAUGAAUGAAGCCUGCCUUAGCUGAUCUCAUUAAGCACACUCACACACCAUCUAAAGUUUCAGUCGUUUAUUGUCGUUACUUCUGAAUCCUUAAGAACUUGGUUAAGGCGAGAGAUAAGCAUAUUAGUUACAAUUUGUAUAACAAGUAAUAAAAAGAUUUGAUUAUCUGUACACUACUUUUCAUUAUACUUAGCGAGUGAUGCCUUCAGCUAUACUCAGCCUAGCUGGCAUUCUUGUGUAAACAGUAUUUACUGGAACAAAAAAUAAGCUACUACUAGCCAUACUUCUAACGUGCUAUCUCAAAUCUACUCUUGCAAACAGAAAGCAGUAAAAAUACUUGGUUUUUCUCUUAAAUGUACAAAGCACAGCAUUGCCCUAGUUAACAACACUUAACUUUGCAAGUUACAUCUGGUUCCUUCAGUUGCAUGGCUUAUCAUCGUAGUAAACUAAGGAAGAGACCUAUGAAAAGAAGUCCUAACAUAAUUGGAAUUUCACGUUUGUCAAGCAUAUAAGGCUACAAGUUUUACAGUUUGCAGAUAAACGAGAUAUGUUGAACUGUAACAUUGCCAGCCAUGACAGAUGCAAGUGCUUGACACAGCAUAACUUCUCCUGGCCUCCAGAAAGGCUCAUGUGCAGAAGAAAGAAAUCACUGAGUAUGAUAGGCCAAGUUGAGCGGAAUUCUCAUUAUACAUGUACACACACAUGCAAGAGAGAGGUUUAGACUUCAGGAACAGAGUGAUCCAUGAGGCUUUUCAUGAUGCUUGUUGCCAUCCUCUUUAUUAUAUACUCAUAAAUACUUGAAGGCAUGAUGGUAAUUGUCACUACAUUCCCAGCUGUUGCCAAGAUGUCUGCAAUCUGAGGGUCCUUCAAUCCAAUUACAUUCUGGCCAUUAAUUUCACAAAUGUUGUGCUCUGUAAGAAGUCCAUUUCUUGCAGCAGAGCUGUCUUUCACUAUCGAGGUUAUUUUUCCAUUCUUGAAUAUGAAACCAACAUGCCCUGUGCUGUCCUUAUGCAUAGUAAUAAUACGUUCAAAAGGCCUGUCCCGAAUGAUCAUUGAAAUCCUCUCCCCGGAAGCCUGUUUCAGAACUUUGUGUGCUUUAUCAGAACUCCACCCUGCACAGUUUUCACCAUUGAUCUGCAGAACUUGGUCCCCAAACCGCAGGCCAGCUAGAGACGCUGGAGAGUUUGCUUGUACUAAUUGAACAAAUAUUCCGUUGUCAACAGACUUCAGGCGAAGUCCAAUUUUCCCAUCUUGAUCUUUACACAAAAUCGUUUCACGGAUGCCCUGCUUAAUUUCUGCUCGUCGAACUCCAAUAUCAUUUCCAGUCACUGGAGCUACCAUAUAAUUAGCAGGAGGUCGCGAUACCAGUUGACCUUGUGGCUGAGCAACUGGCAAGUUUCUCUGCACCUCUUCUUCAUUGAGGCUCAGACCCAUAUACUGAGAAAGUUCUGGAUAUAAUCUGGGGUACAAACCUCCAUCGUGAGGAAUAGGAGCAGAAGCUUCAGACAAGAUUGCUGGAUUAGCUGGAUUUGAAGAGAAGGCAGUCUGAGCCUGAAUAACUUUGUCCACCUUCAGAUCUUCCAAGGAAGGAUAGAGAGACAUGUUGAUGCAGCCUCACUCCGGCCCGGCCGUUGAGGAAAGGAUCAGCACACAGAAGAACGACUGCGGCUCGCACAACUCCCGGCGGCGCCGCUGUGAGGGGAGCGGGGGCGGCGGCGG
rnacentral:lncRNA from 1 species